UGGAACUCUGCCUGCUGAAAUGUUUCUGAAGCUGAAGAUGAGGAUCUGGGUGAGCUUAUUACCCAAGGCUAGUUUAAUUAAGCUAAGAUCAGAGGAAUGGCUAAUAGAUGGAUAAAAUUCCAUUGUCGGAAUCUCUCUCUCUCACUGCCACUGUCUCAUCCCCUUUCUUGCCUUCUUGACCUGUGUGCUUGGAUGAAGCUGGCUGCCAUGUUGGAGAGACCAGAGUGGCACAGAGCCAAGGUGACUUCCUGUUCACCAUACAACAAAGACCCGUUACUCUUAGCCCACCAACUUGUGAGGAACUGAGUCCUGUUAACAGCCACAGCAAUGGAAACUGCAAGAAAGAGAGAUCAUUUGGAGUCACUCAGAGGGAAAGUUGGGAUUCCGAUUUGCCACCACGAAGCUUCCUCCUUGUUCUGCACAAGCCAUCAAUGUACAGAGUGUGGAAGUCCAUCUAUUAGUCAGGAAGAGCUU